rnacentral:sRNA from 1 species
AGCAGAAGCCGGCGUCGGGAGCCCAGGCGGGCAGGCCGCUGGGGUCGGGGCUGCACCUACGAGAGCCGGGACGCCCGGGUUCAGAGCGAAGGAGGAGGCAUGGCUUCGGUGUUCAUGUGUGGCGUGGAGGACCUGCUGUUCAGCGGCAGCCGCUUCGUAUGGAACUUGACCGUGUCCACGCUGCGGAGAUGGUACACGGAGAGGCUGCGGGCUUGCCACCAGGUGCUGCGGACGUGGUGCGGGCUGCAGGACGUGUACCAGCUCAUCUCCUGACAGAAAUUUCUAAAAGAAACAUGUCACCUAAACUCAACAAAAUUAGUCCCAGGUUCUUUGAAAAGCAUUUUUGAACCUUUGUUGCACAGCUUGAAAAGCAUCAAGAACGGACUCUCUGGACUCUUCAAAUGAGUGUUUGUUUUUCACAUUCCAUCUUUUCUUGGUGGAGCUUGUAGCAUAAAAUAACUUUCUCAUUCAUCCCCUACUUAUGUUUAUUCUGAACAUUAUAUUUUUGAUGUCCCGGUUGGUUGUUGUGGAAAAGUCUGAAUGACUCAAAUGAGAAAUCAGAUCUGCAGUUCUA